AUUUGGAUAGUUUAAAUAGAACACGGCGUUGAAAGCGUUGAGGUAAGAUUUUUCAAAUG
rnacentral:tRNA from 1 species